CGUGGACACAUAGCAGCCAUAAAAAACGAACACGUGAAGGAAAGUGUCAGCGGGGCGUGAAAGAUGUCACUGCCACACUGCAUGCAAAAAGGUUACAAACACGGGUCUGGAACUCGCUGCUUACUGUUCUGUCUUGUGCCCUGGACAGGAUAUCAUCUUAUACUGUAAGUUUAUUAAAGAAACACUACAGUAUAGAUGAUGUACUAUCCAGGGUUUCAUUCCCCCCGCCGGCACUAUAACGCCUAACUGACUGUGGUAGGCUGCGCACACGCUGCAGAGGAGGGCCGUCAAACCGUUACCAUUACUGAGUUUCAGCAAUGGUAAGGGUUAUAUGGCCCUCGCUCAAUGUCAUCUGGAGCGGGAGGAUGGAGAAAGUUGGUGAUUGAUGUGUUAUCCAAGAGCUUCUGGAGGACAUCUUUAGAUCCCAGUUUUUGAGACGUACUUGUCGAUGCAUGUAAAAUAAAGUUUAUGGCUCCCGAA